rnacentral:misc_RNA from 1 species
GAUGAAGAACGCAGCGAAAUGCGAUAAGUAGUGUGAAUUGCAGAAUUCAGUGAAUCAUCGAAUCUUUGAACGCACAUUGCGCCCCCUGGCAUUCCGGGGGGCAUGCCUGUCCGAGCGUCAUUUCUGCCCUCCAGCCCGGCUGGGUGUUGGGCGCUGUCCCCCCGGGGACACGCCCCAAAGGCAGUGGCGGCGCCGCGUCGGGUCCUCGAGCGUAUGGGGCUUUGUCACCCGCUCGGGACGGACUCGUCGGCGCUGGUCUUCCUCCAGGCGACCCUUCGGGGCUCGUCUUCCUUCGGUUGACCUCGGAUCAGGUAUGGUUACCCGCUGAACUUAAGCAUAUCAAUAAGCGGAGGA